rnacentral:rRNA from 1 species
UACGGGGGGGACCAGUGUUAAUCAUAUUGAUUGGGCGUAAAGGGUAUGUAGACGGCAUUUUUAACCUAUUAUAAAAGCCUACUCAAACAGUAGAAAUUAUCAGGUAUUAUUUUGCUAGAGUAUAUAAGAAGCGUGUGGUAUUCUUAGUGGAGCUGUGAUAUCCGGAGAUAUUAAGGAGACCCUCAAUGGCGAAGGCAACUAUCUAUUAUAUACUGACGUUCGGAUACGGAAGCAUAGGGAGCGAACGGG